rnacentral:rRNA from 1 species
AACGAACGCUGGCGGCAUGCCUAACACAUGCAAGUCGAACGAGACCUUCGGGUCUAGUGGCGCACGGGUGCGUAACGCGUGGGAACCUGCCUUUAGGUUCGGAAUAACUCAGAGAAAUUUGAGCUAAUACCGGAUGAUGUCUUCGGACCAAAGAUUUAUCGCCUUUAGAUGGGCCCGCGUUGGAUUAGCUAGUUGGUGGGGUAAUGGCCUACCAAGGCGACGAUCCAUAGCUGGUCAGAGAGGAUGAUCAGCCACACUGGGACUGAGACACGGCCCAGACUCCUACGGGAGGCAGCAGUGGGGAAUAUUGGACAAUGGGCGAAAGCCUGAUCCAGCAAUGCCGCGUGAGUGAUGAAGGCCUUAGGGUUGUAAAGCUCUUUUAACCGAGAUGAUAAUGACAGUAUCGGGAGAAUAAGCCCCGGCUAACUCCGUG